rnacentral:rRNA from 1 species
ACUAUGGAGAGUUUGAUCCUGGCUCAGGAUGAACGCUAGCGGCAGGCCUAAUACAUGCAAGUCAAGGGGAUAG